rnacentral:rRNA from 1 species
AAUAGAUACCCGGGUAGUCCUAGCCGUAAACAACUCGUAUACUUGAUGUAGACGGAAUCAACCCUGUCUGUGUCGUAGCUAACGCGAUAAGUAUACCGCCUGGGGGAGUACGCUCGCAAGGGUGAAACUCAAAAGAAUUGACGGGGGACCCGCACAAGCAGUGGAGUAUGUGGUUUUAAUUCGAUGCAACGCGAAAAACCUUACCUAGGCUUGACAUACAGUAGACAGUAGUGGAAACACUACCUUCCUUCGGGACUGCUGAACAGGUGCUGCAUGGCUGUCGUCAGCUCGUGCCGUGAGGUGUUGGGUUAAGUCCCGCAACGAGCGCAACCCUUAUCAUUAGUUGCCAACACGUAAAGGUGGGAGCUCUAAUGAGACUGCCUGGGUUAACCAGGAGGAAGGUGAGGAUGGACGUCAAGUCCGCAUGGCCCUUAUGUCUAGGGCAACACACGUACUACAAUGGUCGGUACAGUAGGCAGCUAAGCCGUGAGGGCGGAGCAAAUACCAAUAACGGCCGGCCCCGAGUUCAGAUUGUAGUCUGCAA